ACUCAGGUGUUGUUGGGUAGGGGAGCGUUCUGUAAGCCUGUGAAGGUGGCCUGUGAGGGUUGCUGGAGGUAUCAGAAGUGCGAAUGCUGACAUAAGUAACGAUAAAGCGGGUGAAAAGCCCGCUCGCCGGAAGACCAAGGGUUCCUGUCCAACGUUAAUCGGGGCAGGGUGAGUCGACCCCUAAGGCGAGGCCGAAAGGCGUAGUCGAUGGGAAACGGGUUAAUAUUCCCGUACUUGGUGUUACUGCGAAGGGGGGACGGAGAAGGCUAUGUUGGCCGGGCGACGGUUGUCCCGGUUUAAGCGUAUAGGUGUGUGUUCCAGGUAAAUCCGGUUCACUUUAACACUGAGGCGUGAUGACGAGGCGCUACGGUGCUGAAGCAACAAAUGCCCUGCUUCCAGGAAAAGCCUCUAAGCAUCAGGUAACAUCAAAUCGUACCCCAAACCGACACAGGUGGUCAGGUAGAGAAUACCAAGGCGCUUGAGAGAACUCGGGUGAAGGAACUAGGCAAAAUGGUGCCGUAACUUCGGGAGAAGGCACGCUGACAUGUAGGUGAAGUGAUUUACUCACGGAGCUGAAGUCAGUCGAAGAUACCAGCUGGCUGCAACUGUUUAUUAAAAACACAGCACUGUGCAAACACGAAAGUGGACGUAUACGGUGUGACGCCUGCCCGGUGCCGGAAGGUUAAUUGAUGGGGUCAGCGCAAGCGAAGCUCCUGAUCGAAGCCCCGGUAAACGGCGGCCGUAACUAUAACGGUCCUAAGGUAGCGAAAUUCCUUGUCGGGUAAGUUCCGACCUGCACGAAUGGCGUAAUGAUGGCCAGGCUGUCUCCACCCGAGACUCAGUGAAAUUGAACUCGCUGUGAAGAUGCAGUGUACCCGCGGCAAGACGGAAAGACCCCGUGAACCUUUACUAUAGCUUGACACUGAACAUUGAGCCUUGAUGUGUAGGAUAGGUGGGAGGCUUUGAAGUGUGGACGCCAGUCUGCAUGGAGCCGACCUUGAAAUACCACCCUUUAAUGUUUGAUGUUCUAACGUGGACCCGUGAUCCGGGUUGCGGACAGUGUCUGGUGGGUAGUUUGACUGGGGCGGUCUCCUCCUAAAGAGUAACGGAGGAGCACGAAGGUUGGCUAAUCCUGGUCGGACAUCAGGAGGUUAGUGCAAUGGCAUAAGCCAGCUUGACUGCGAGCGUGACGGCGCGAGCAGGUGCGAAAGCAGGUCAUAGUGAUCCGGUGGUUCUGAAUGGAAGGGCCAUCGCUCAACGGAUAAAAGGUACUCCGGGGAUAACAGGCUGAUACCGCCCAAGAGUUCAUAUCGACGGCGGUGUUUGGCACCUCGAUGUCGGCUCAUCACAUCCUGGGGCUGAAGUAGGUCCCAAGGGUAUGGCUGUUCGCCAUUUAAAGUGGUACGCGAGCUGGGUUUAGAACGUCGUGAGACAGUUCGGUCCCUAUCUGCCGUGGGCGCUGGAGAACUGAGGGGGGCUGCUCCUAGUACGAGAGGACCGGAGUGGACGCAUCACUGGUGUUCGGGUUGUCAUGCCAAUGGCACUGCCCGGUAGCUAAAUGCGGAAGAGAUAAGUGCUGAAAGCAUCUAAGCACGAAACUUGCCCCGA
rnacentral:rRNA from 1 species